rnacentral:rRNA from 1 species
UACAAAGGGGGGCUAGCGUUGCUCGGAUUGACUGGGCGUAAAGGGCGCGUAGGCGGUUCGUACAGUCAGACGUGAAAUUCCUGGGCUCAACCUGGGGGCUGCGUUUGAUACGUGCGGACUUGAGUGCGGAAGAGGGUCGUGGAAUUCCCAGUGUAGAGGUGAAAUUCGUAGAUAUUGGGAAGAACACCGGUGGCGAAGGCGGCGACCUGGUCCGAUACUGACGCUGAGGCGCGAAAGCGUGGGGAGCAAACAGG